GAUGAAGAACGUAGCGAAAUGCGAUAAGUAAUGUGAAUUGCAGAAUUCAGUGAAUCAUCGAAUCUUUGAACGCACAUUGCGCCCAUUAGUAUUCUAGUGGGCAUGCCUGUUCGAGCGUCAUUAAGUCCACUUAAGCCUAGCUUAGUGUUGGGAGACUGCUCCAGUGGUGCUACCCUGUAGCUACCCUGCAGCUCCUUAAAGACAGCGGCGGAGUCGUGUUAUCCUCUGAGCUUAGUAAAUCAUUCUAGCUUUCGAGAGUAUCACUUCACCUGCCGUUAAACCACCUAAUUUUUAUGGUUGACCUCGGAUCAGGUAGGAAUACCCGCUGAACUUAAGCAUAUCAAUAAGCGGAGGA
rnacentral:misc_RNA from 1 species